UCUCAUAUAUAGCUCCAUUUUCUACUAACUUAUGAAAGAGGCAAUUCUCUCUCCCUCUUUAAUAGAACAUUCUAGAAUGCUCUAUCCCUUUCCAAUUCUCUACUAGCUAAUGGAGCACUCUAGAAAACUCUAGGAACAAAAUGCUCUCUACUUGCUAAUAGAACACUUUAGUGAGUUCUAGAAGCAAGUACUCUAGAAUAUUCUAGAGUUCUCAUGUAGGUAGGUUGGAGACCUAUAAAUAGGUGUGAGGCCUCCACACCAAGUGUGCUUGGAGUGUGCAAGAGUGUGAGAGUGAAGAGUGAGAUAUAGUGAAGUAAGGGUGUGAGUGGUGGUGUGAGGUGAGGAAGUGUUGUGAGGUGUAGUGAAGUAGUGAAGUGAGUGUGCGAGGUUUGUAGUCUUAUGGGUGUAUGUGAAUGAGGGUUAUUUUGUGUGUAAUAAAGAGAGUUUUAUUAUUAGCUUGGUACGCCAAUAUUCUACAAUUUGGUAUCAGAGCCAGAUUGUAGGAAAUAUUCUGCUAGUUAAGUCGGUGAAAUUCUGCCAGUCCAGGCAGUUAAAUACUGAUAUAAGCAGAGAUUCUGCUGGUGCACAGUCUGGGACUAUGAAGUUGGUCAGUCUGGGACCAGACUUACUUGGUUGACUGCUGGGCAAUCACCAAGUCACUAUGGCAGAUCUUGCUGGUACAACUAGCGAAAUUAAGAAGCUAAAUAACCAUAAUUAUGGUUAUUGGCAAACCUGCAUUGAGUCCUAUCUACAAGGGCAGGACUUGUGGGAGGUAAUCGGUGGUGCUGAAACAACUCCACCACUGAAGGAGAAUGCAGAAGUGUUCAGAAAGUGGCGUAUCAAGGCAGGGAAGGCAAUGUUCAUUCUGAAGACAACAAUUGAAGAAGAGCUGCUGGAGCAUAUCAAAGAAGCAGAUACACCCAAGGUUGCAUGGGACACCCUCGCCUCGUUAUUUUCAAAGAAGAAUGAUGCUCGACUUAAACUGCUGGAAAAUGAGCUGAUGACGAUAUCUCAGGGCAGCAUGAUGAUUAGCCAGUACUUCAUGAAGGUAAAAUCUCUCUGCCGUGAAAUUUUCCAAUUAGAUCCAGAGUCAAAAAUUAGUGACCAGCAGAUGAAGAGAAUUAUUAUUCACGGCCUAAAACCCAAAUAUAACGGAUUCAUUACUGCUAUUCGAGGUUGGCCCACUCAAUCAAUGUUGGUGGAGCUAGAAAAUUUACUGGCUAAUCAGGAGGCUCUAGCCAAACAGAUGGCUGGAGUCUCACUGAAAACUGAAGAGGAGGCACUCUUCAGCAGUAGAAGAAAAGGUCGAGCAACAGGAGGGCCAAGAAAUGUGAAGCCGCUUAAGGAGUUCAGUAGGGCAAAACAAAGGUCGGGAGAGAGCCACCUUACAGGGAGAGUCCACAACCAGAAGGAGCAAAAUACCUGGCAGUUUAAAGACAACAAACGGCGAAGCGGAGAGUGUUAUAAUUGCGGCAAGAAAGGACACUUCGCCCGAGACUGUUGGUACAUGAAGAAAUAAGUACAAGGCAAUAUGGCAACAUCAGGUGACCAUCAAGCAGCAUACAAAAGUGAAGAAUAGUGGGAUGCUCAAGCCUCCUUCGCCAUCAUGGAGUCAAAAGAAGACUGUUAUUCAAACAAGGAGAAGGCUCUCGAAGAACAAAGGUCAGCAAACACUGCUGCAGAGGAGAUGACGCCAAGUGCUAAGAAGGAAAAGCUACCAAAGCAGGUACCAAUAUAUGCAUUAACUGUUAGAUGUAUGCCCUAGAAGCCAACCAGGCCGACACAUGUAUUCUUUCUAGGACAUAAAUUUGUAUUUGACUUUAAAAUAUUAUGAAUAAAUUUGGGUUAUUAUUUCCAUUCAUGUUGUGUACGUGUCCAUGAAUCGUCCAAGGAAUUAAUAAGAUGAUGACAUAUAUUCUCAAGAGUUGAGAAUUUGAGACAUGUGUCAUUGGUGGUUAAUUCCUAAAUGCUCCCGAUCAAUGGAUCAUCACGGGGACGGUGAUUGAUCCAGUGAGAUUGGUGCAUAGGUCGCUUCCCUUUUGGGUAGACGAGUCUCGAGUCGACAGUGUGGGGACACUGAAGCGAAUAUGCAGGUGGUUGUUAGAGAACAAGGGUACCGAGCGUGACCAACGCGAGAAGUCACUUGGAUGUCUACUCACUCGUCAGUGACUUACUCAAUUGUUGCAGUAGUGUGACUGGUCCUUUGACCUGCGGUGCCUCGGCUAUUCACAAUGAGGUUACUGUAGUUUGACUGUACAUACACUUGGUCCCUAGCCAUUCGGGUCCUUGCGGUGCAUGUUGGCUGCAGUAGGUUCAUUGUAGGAAUAGGGUGCGCACUUAGAUGGAAUCUAUCUCCCUUGGUAGAUAGGGGUGUUAGUCCUAUGUGAUUUAUGAGACCGAGUUUAGAAGACCUUGGCCAGGGCAGAAUAAAUAGCGGAAAAGGGUUUCCGAUAUUAGAAACUCGAGUCGAAUAAAUUUAACAUAUGACAGACGAUGGGGUUUGACGAGUUAUUCCAUAACCUCCGUCUAGUCGGGACUCAUGAUAGAAGGAUUGUAUCACACGGUAACUGCACCAAGAGGUUCAGUAUUCCAUUCUACUGGAAUGCCACUACAUGCUGCUAGGCGUCACUGGUGGAUUGUGAGACUCAUGAGAAUUAUCUAGAUGAUCGAUAAUUCUCAUUGGGCUGAGUUGGAAUUGUUCCGAUCCACUGAAAGGAGUUUCAGUGAUAUUGUUGAUAGUGAUCAAAAUAUAUCUCACUACCAGAUAGAAUAGAACCUAUGGGGUCACACACAUAAGAGGUUGUGAUUGAUCGGAUAGCUAGAUUGCGAUUAUUGAAUCGCCGGAGGACCUAAUUGUCAAUAUGUUGAUAAUUGGACUAAUUUGUAAUUGUUACAAAUUAGUGGUAUUAAGGUGUAAAUGUUACAAGAGAGGACUUACUAAUAGUUAGUAAAUUAGAAGAAGACUUAUGUGCAAAUGUUGCAUUAUUAAUUUGAUAUGAUCAAAUUAAUAUAAAGAUCGAAUCAAAUUAGGAUUUGAUCGAUCUAACCAAUUAAGGAAAGGAUAAAUUUAAUCUAGAUUUAUACUUAUUCUUAAUUGUCGUUAUAUUAUUAGGAAUAGGAUUAUAUUCCUAUAUAUAACAUACGGGAGUUUUUAGAAAACCCUAGCCGUUAUCUCUCUUCUCUUCUCUCUUCCAUCUUUUAGCAAGAAAGACGUCAUUUUGCAAGGAAGCUAGCACCCCGGUGAGGACAUCGAUCAAAUCAAGAACCUCGUGUGGAUACCUAUAGAGGCCGGACGCGUGUGCGGCUUCAAGAGAACCGAAUUCCACGAUUAUCAAAUUGAGGGGAAGAUCUAUCUGCAAAAAAGGUAAAGAUUCGAUCUUAUUUUUCUUCUUUAAUCUUAAAACAUGAGGGAUCCUAAUUGCGUGGUUUUUGAGAUUGGAUCUCGAGAGUUUUCAAAAAUCAAAUUUGUUUGAUUUCUUUUUCCGCUGCGUUUUUACUGUACGCAAUUUUCUAACAUUAACAACAAUAGAAAAUCCAAGAGAGGUGAAUUACAGUACAGAUUGGAUCAUCGACUCUGGAUGUUCCAAUCAUAUGACCAGUGAUAAAGACAAGCUGCUCAACACAACAGAAUAUAAAGGAGGAAGAGUAGUGGUGACAGCUAACAACUCGAAGCUGCGUAUCACCCACAUAGGAAAGACAAUCAUCACACCCAGAUGCAGCUCACAUCAAGUACAACUAUAGAACGUCUGCCAUGUCCCAGGUAUGAAGAAAAAUCUCUAAUCAGUAUCACAAUUGACUGCAUCGGGCAAUUAUGUAGUAUUUGGGCCACAAGAUGUCAAGAUAUUUCGCAAUCCCAAGAUAUCAGGUAUACAAAUCACGGAAGGAAAGAAAGUAGAGUCUAUCUACGUAAUGUCUGCAGAAUUAGCAUACGUAGAAAAGACUCGGAAAAGUGAGACUGCUGAUUUGUGGCAUGCAAGACUGGGACAUGUGGGCUAUCACAAACUGAAAAUCAUGAUGGAGCGCGACAUGCUUAAGGGCUUACCUCAACUUGAAGUACGAGGAGACACUAUCUGCGCAGGAUGCCAGUUUGGUAAGGCUCAUCAACUUCCCUACACUGAAUCCAAAUAUAGAGCCAAGGUACCGCUCGAGCUCGUGCACUCUGAUGUUUUUGGACCAGUCAAGCAAACAUCAAUUAGCGGCAUGUGCUACAUGGUGACGUUCAUUGAUGACUUCUCAAGGUACGUCUGGAUAUACUUUAUUAAAGAAAAAUCUGAAGUGCUGCAAAAAUUUAAAAAAUUUAAAGAAAAAGUUGAAGGCCAAACCGGUUAUAAAAUACGAUGCAUGUGCACGGAUAAUGGAAGUGAAUAUACCUCAGCAGAGUUCUCAGCUUAUCUGCGAGAGUGCAAAAUAAGGAGACAGCUUACGUGUCCACGCACUCCGCAACAAAAUGGUAUAGCUGAGAGAAAGAAUAGACAUCUAGCAGAAACUUGCAGAAGCAUGCUGCAUGCGAAGAAUGUGCCAUGCAGAUUUUGGGCAGAAUGUAUGAGAACAGCAGCACAUGUCAUCAACCGGCUGCCGCAACCGAAGUUAGGAUUCAUCUCACCCUAUCAAGUACUAUGGAAAAUCAAACCCACAGUAAGUCAUUUUCGAGUCUUUGGAUGCGUCUGCUAUGUGUUCGUACCGGACCAUCUUCGAAGUAAAUUCGACAAGAAGGCGAUACGAUGCAUCUUCGUCGGGUACGACAGUGAAAGAAAAGGGUGGAGAUGCUGUGACCCAACAACCGGUCGUUGUUACACGUCGAGAAAUGUCGUGUUCGAUGAAGCGUCAUCCUGGUGCUCCUCACAAGAAGUUAUACUGCCAGACUCUGAAGAAAUAGAAAUCAAGCUACAAGAAAAGCUUGGAGAACAAGAACAAGAAGGAGAAAAGGUCGUGCCAGAGCAAGAAGAAAGCGGUCAACCUUCAAUAGAGCCAACCGGUGACGAGCAGCAUCUCCAGAAGUCUCCAGAACCCUGGCGAACUGACGUGCAUUAUCAAACCCCAGAAGAAUAUCGGCCAAGCCAGCUUGAAGACAUAGGUAUGCAGUUACGAAGAUCCUCUAGGCAAAGAAAACCUAAUCCUAAGUAUGCAAAUGUUGCUAUCGCCGAAGAAGAAGAGACUCCAAAAGAGCCGACCUCCUACGAAGAAGCAGUUACAAGCAAGGAGUAGAGGAACGCAAUGGACGAAAGGAUCCAGGUGCUAAAACAGAAUCAAAACAGAAGAGCAAGUAGCCGACAUAUUCACCAAACGGCUAAGCACCACAAAAUUCGAAGAGUUCCGGAAGCGAUUAGGAAUGCUCAGCAAAGUAACAUUAAGAGAGAGUUAGAGUUGAGGGGGAGUAUUGAAAGAGGCAACUCUCUCUCUCUCUUUAAUAGAACAUUCUAGAAUACUCUAUCCCUUUCCAAUUCUCUACUAGCUAAUGGAGCACUCUAGAAAACUCUAGGAACAAAGUGCUCUCUACUUGCUAAUAGAACACUUUAGUGAGUUCUAGAAGCAAGUACUCUAGAAUAUUCUAGAGUGCUCAUGUAGGUAGGUUGGAGGUCUAUAAAUAGGUGUGAGGGCUCCACACCAAGUGUGCUUGGAGUGUGCAAGAGUGUGAGAGUGAAGAGUGAGAUAUAUAGUGAAGUAAGGAUGUGAGUAGUGGUGUGAGGUGAGGAAGUGUUGUGAGGUGUAGUGAAGUAGUGAAGUGAGUGUGUGAGGUUUGUAGUCUUAUAGGUGUAUGUGAAUGAGAGUUAUUUUAUAUGUAAUAAAAAGAGUUUUAUUAUUAGCUUGGUACGCCAAUAUUCUACAACUUAGUCCUUAAAUUUGAAACAAUUAAAAUAUCAAUUUUACUCAUUU
rnacentral:lncRNA from 1 species